GUCGCCAAGUUACGCGGCACUCGGAAAAUGGAUCGCCCCGUAUUUCUCAGAAAUUUCCCUUUGCGAAAACUUAUCAUUUUCUUGACGCUACCGUACCUUAAAACGAGACAGAUGAUCUCUGGCUUCGUCCUCAGCGUCGAUUGCAUAUUUAAUAAGAUCGUCUCUUGUGUAAGGUUGCACUUUUUUGUCCUGCCAUAAGAUUCUACCGUCAGACCAGGGUAAUUCAGGUUUAUAAAUGAUGGUGGCACUUGCAAUCGUCGACAAAAAUUGGGCCGAUGGUUAGGUGGUAUCUUUUGUAGUUUUCGUUGUGAUUGCCACAUCGGGGACAACCAAUCAGCACCUCUCAAUAAUAAUUGGAUCAUGACUAAUCGUUCUUAUUAAUAGCGUUGUUGUAUAAAUUGUCAUCAUCUGUCCUUAGUAAUAUCAAUUCCUAUGCUCUUUCACUUUUUAUUUUAUUUUGGCAAUAAUAUUAUUAAUUAAAAUGCCCGUAAUUAAUUUUAAUACCACAUAUAAUUUCAUUAUUAUAAAGUGUAAUAUAUUCAAAUGAAAUGCAUUUCUAUUGUAUUAUAGA
rnacentral:lncRNA from 13 species